GAACUACAAGUGAAAAACUUCAAACUUAAAGGACUUGACGGUAUCCCAAACCGACCUAGAGGAGCCUGUCCUAUAAUCGAUACCCCCCGCUCCACCCAACCUCAACUAGCACAAUAUCAGCCUAUAUACCGCCGUCGACAGCCUACCCUAUGAAGGUUCAACAGUAGACACAAUAGCCCCCCGCUAACACGUCAGGUCAAGGUGUAGCAAAUAUUGAGGAAGAGAUUGGCUACAUUUUUUAUGAUAAAAAAAACGAAAAGUACUAUGAAACAGUACAUGAAGGUGAAUUUAGUAGUAAAAUAAACAAGAGUGUUUAUUUUAACACCGCUCUGGGAUGCGUACACACCGCCCG
rnacentral:rRNA from 1 species